AAGUCCUCAAACCACAUUGAUUGUUUUUCGAUGUGGCUUGGAUGUGGGGGUUUUUGUUUGCAGGCUUCAGAAAAUGAAGUCUGCUCCCCUGAAAUGCAUUAGUGGUAUCUGAGCAGAAAAACUACUACAGGUGUGAUAAUAUAUCUAUGCCUUGGUAAAAUGUGCUGCAUGGAACAGAUUGCGCUGCUUCUAACACAGAACUUUAUAUUAUUU
rnacentral:misc_RNA from 1 species